rnacentral:lncRNA from 1 species
GGCCACUCUUCUGGUGGGGAUCGGUGGGGAUCAGCACAGCGGGCAGGCUCUGGCACCUCCUUGCUCUGAUUCAUUCUCAACAUGAAAUCAUGAUUUGCUGGGUGCCGGUUACAGAGUCUUGAAACUCUAACUGAUGAAGCAUCAGUGUGGCCCCAGGGAGAUCUCACCCAGCAUACAAAAAGCGUCGGGUUCAAUCCCCAGCAACCCUCCAAAUAAUAACGCAACAGGACCAAAGAUGGCCCAUGAAAAGAAGAUGGCAGCACACCUGACUCUGACCCUCAGAACCCACAAGGUAGGCACCAGGCGGGAAACUGCUCAACUUCUCCAGACCUUAACCUUCCCACCUGCUCCACAAGGAUGCUAGCGCUCCACUCAGAAGUGCGUGUUCCUCGCUAAGGUCAGGGAAGAAAAAAAACACCAGCUGAACUUGA